AGAGAAUUGACCGAGUGGUUUAUGGUGGUAAGCUUGAGUCUUAUUUGGCUUUUUGUAAGUCACGUCCGUUCGAAUCGGAUAUUCUCUG
rnacentral:tRNA from 1 species